rnacentral:pre_miRNA from 14 species
UUCUUCAGCAUAGAAUGAAAGAUCCCACGCAGAGAGACCCUUACUCAAGUCUUGGGAAAUUGCGGACCCCAGACACAGAGAGACCU